GCGGCAGAGCUCAGAUUUGAAAUCGUGCUUUGCGGCACGAGUUGUAGAUUGCAGGUUGGAGUCUGUGUGGAAGGCGGUGUCCAAGUCCCUUGGAACAGGGCGCCCAGGAGGGUGAGAGCCCCGUGGGAUGCCGGCGGAAGCAGUGAGGCCCUUCUGACGAGUCGAGUUGUUUGGGAAUGCAGCUCCAAGCGGGUGGUAAAUUCCAUCUAAGGCUAAAUACUGGCGAGAGACCGAUAGCGAACAAGUACUGUGAAGGAAAGAUGAAAAGCACUUUGAAAAGAGAGUGAAACAGCACGUGAAAUUGUUGAAAGGGAAGGGUAUUGCGCCCGACAUGGGGAUUGCGCACCGCUGCCUCUCGUGGGCGGCGCUCUGGGCUUUCCCUGGGCCAGCAUCGGUUCUUGCUGCAGGAGAAGGGGUUCUGGAACGUGGCUCUUCGGAGUGUUAUAGCCAGGGCCAGAUGCUGCGUGCGGGGACCGAGGACUGCGGCCGUGUAGGUCACGGAUGCUGGCAGAACGGCACAACACCGC
rnacentral:rRNA from 1 species